UUUUCCCGCGCCCAAUUCGGGUUUACGGCCCUGCUGGUUUUCUGGGCACGCUGCUGAGUCUUCUCGCGAAUCCCGCCCCUCUUGCGGGGGAGAAGACGACCCGGAUGCGGAGAAUCUGCUACAAUUUGGAAUCGAGAGACUUUUCUGAUAUACGUGAACACAACACCCAAGCAUAGUUGCGGAGAAACCUGGUCUCAAAGGCGCUCCACUGGCCAUAAAAAUGAGUCCUGCAGAGGCACUUGAUGAUGAAAAUACAUUUAAAAUCUUAGUUGCAACUGAUAUUCAUCUUGGAUUUAUGGAGAAAGAUGCAGUGAGAGGAAAUGAUACAUUUGUCACACUUGAUGAAAUUUUAAGACUUGCCCGGGAAAAUGAAGUAGAUUUUAUUUUGUUAGGUGGUGAUCUUUUCCAUGAAAAUAAGCCUUCAAGAAAAACAUUACAUACUUGCCUGGAGUUACUUAGAAAACAUUGUAUGGGUGAUCGUCCAGUACAGUUUGAAAUCAUCAGUGAUCAGUCAGUCAACUUUGGUUUUAGUAAGUUUCCAUGGGUGAACUACCAAGAUGGCAAUCUCAACAUUUCAAUUCCAGUGUUUAGUGUUCAUGGCAAUCAUGAUGAUCCCACUGGGGCAGAUUCACUCUGUGCCCUGGAUAUUUUAAGUUGUGCUGGAUUUAUAAAUCACUUUGGACGGUCAAUGUCUGUUGAAAAGAUAGAUAUUAGUCCAAUUUUGCUUCAAAAAGGAAGCACAAAAAUUGCUCUCUAUGGUUUAGGGUCCAUUCCAGAUGAAAGGCUCUAUCGAAUGUUUGUCAAUAAAAAAGUAACAAUGUUGAGACCAAAGGAAGACGAGAGCUCUUGGUUUAACUUAUUUGUGAUUCAUCAGAACAGGAGUAAACAUGGAAGUACUAACUUCAUUCCAGAACAGUUUUUGGACGAUUUCAUUGAUCUUGUUAUCUGGGGCCAUGAGCAUGAGUGUAAAAUAGCUCCAACCAAAAAUGAACAACAGCUCUUUUAUGUAUCACAGCCUGGAAGCUCAGUGGUUACUUCUCUUUCCCCAGGCGAAGCUGUGAAGAAACAUGUUGGCUUGCUGCGUAUUAAAGGAAGGAAAAUGAAUAUGCACAAAAUUCCUCUGCAAACAGUGAGACAAUUUUUUAUGGAAGACGUUGUUCUGGCUAAUCAUCCGAACAUUUUUAACCCAGAUAAUCCCAAAGUAAGCCAAGUCAUACAGAGCUUCUGUGUGGAGAAGAUUGAAGAAAUGCUUGAAAAUGCUGAACGGGAACGUUUGGGAAAUUCUCGACAGCCGGAGAAACCUCUUAUACGACUGCGAGUGGACUACAGUGGAGGCUUUGAACCUUUCAGCGUUCAUCGUUUUAGCCAGAAAUUUGUGGAUCGGGUGGCAAAUCCAAAAGACAUUAUCCAUUGAGAUGAGAUUAACUUUGGGAAGCUUAUCACAAAACCUACAGAAGGAACAACUCUUAGGGUAGAGGACCUUGUAAAACAGUAUUUUCAAACUGCGGAGAAGAAUGUUCAGCUCUCACUACUAACAGAAAGAGGGAUGGGUGAGGCUGUACAAGAAUUUGUAGACAAGGAAGAGAAAGAUGCCAUUGAGGAGUUAGUGAAAUACCAAUUGGAAAAAACACAGAGAUUUCUUAAAGAACGUCAUAUUGAUGCCUUAGAAGAUAAAAUUGAUGAAGAGGUACGCCGUUUCAGAGAAAGCAGACAAAAAAAUACCAGUGAAGAAGAUGAUGAAGUUCGAGAGGCCAUGAGCAGAGCCCGCGCACUCAGACCCCAGUCGGAGGACUCUGCUUCUGCCUUCAGUGCUGAUGACCUCAUGAGUGUGGAUCUUGCUGAACAGAUGGGAGACGACUCUGACAACAGCACCUUGGCAGCACCCAGCAGAGGCCGAGGCCGAGGCCGAGGGCAAAGAGGAGGCCGAGGGCAGGGCUCGGCCCCCCGAGGAGGGUCUCAGAGAGGCGGAGCAGGCCCUGGUCUGAGUACUUCUCGAAGCAGGAACUCAAGGACCACAGUGUCAACAUGCAGAAAUAUGUCCAUCUUAGAUGCUUUUAAAUCUUCAAGACAGCAGCCCUCCUGCAAUGUUGCUACUAAGAAGUAUUCAGAGGUAAUUGAGGUAGAUGAAUCAGAUGAGGAAGAAGACAUUUUCCCUACCACUUCAAAGACAGAUCAAAGGUGGUCAAGCACGUCAUCCGGCAAGCACAUGUCCCAGAGCCAAGUAGCUAAGGGGGUUGAUUUUGAAUCAGAAGAGAAAACUUGGGAAGGCUCUCCACAUGUCAGGCUUCAAAGCAAAGUGGCAGCAGGAGUUCCGUGUAUCUAUGAAAUGCUGGCAUGUUGCUUCCAUGAGAAAAUGAGCAAGGUGUCUAGAUAUGUAUGUGGUUAAAAGUUACAUGAAUUGCUAGUUCAUUGAACUUAAAGAACUAUCAGCAGAUAUUCAUUUUGGACUUAUCUGUAGACGAUGAUGAUGACCCUUUCAUGAGCAGUAAUUCUUUAAGAAGAAACAGAAGAUAAUAUAUUUAUACAGGAAAAACUGAAACAUCGCAAGAUGAGUUUACAGUUGAGGAUUUUCUAACUAUUGCUCUUAACUGAGGAAUCUGAAGAAGACUUGCUUAACAGAAACUAAUGUAUAAGGGUUUAUGUUUUAAAUAUGAUUUCCUGAACACUACUCUAUUAAGGUAGUUUACCUGUUUUAAUGACAUAUAGGGUUCUACUUAUUUUUUAAUCUAGUUAUUAUCUGAGGAUGUUCUGUACAAUUUAAAAUAUUUUUCUGACAUGUUAAUGUAUAUAUCAGUAAGAACUUUGAUGGUUAUCCUUGAUUAGGAAUUAAAAUAAAUCCACUAUAAUAUAUUUCUGCUUCAUGAUCAAA